CCCCAGAUGUUGCUGAACUACAACUCCUAUGAUUCCCUGGCUAUCUUUUUAAUUGAAAGAAGCAUGGGAGUUGUAAUUCAGCAACAUCUGGGG
rnacentral:miRNA from 1 species